AGCCAGACUCCUACGGGAGGCAGCAGUGGGGAAUAUUGGGCAAUGGGCGAAAGCCUGACCCAGCAACGCCGCGUGAAGGAAGAAGGCUUUCGGGUUGUAAACUUCUUUUGACAGGGAAGAGCAGAAGACGGUACCUGUCGAAUAAGCCACGGCUAACUACGUGCCAGCAGCCGCGGUAAUACGUAGGGGGCAAGCGUUGUCCGGAAUUACUGGGCGUAAAGGGCGCGUAGGUGGGCGCUUAAGUCAGGUGUGAAAACUCCGGGCUCAACCUGGAGACUGCACUUGAAACUGGGUGUCUUGAGGGCAGGAGAGGAAAGUGGAAUUCCUAGUGUAGCGGUGAAAUGCGUAGAUAUUAGGAGGAACACCAGUGGCGAAGGCGACUUUCUGGACUGAAACUGACGCUGAGGCACGAAAGCGUGGGGAGCGAACAGGAUUAGAUACCCGCGUA
rnacentral:rRNA from 1 species